CAUCAGCUCCUCUCUCUCUUCACUUCUCUCUAACCACCGCUGUUAUCGCCGGCCGGCCAAUGGCGCCGCCCGCGCCGCAUUUUCUUCCUCUUUUCUCCUUUCUCAUCGCUGGUACCCCUCUCCUUUCUCUCCCUCAUUCCACCGUGCCACCACCUGACUGCCGGUCAGCGACCAGCGCCACUGCUCCGUUCUCUUCAUUCCACCGCACCCAGAGCCGAUAACCCAGAAAGCGUUGAAAUGCAUGAUGGAUUCUAUGAAUCUGUCUCAAGUUUGUUUCCGUAAUGCAAUUUUCAUAUUGUCAUCUUCUUCUACCCAUCCAAUGAUUUUUAGAUAUUAAAUUCGUGAUAUUCGUGACAUGGGGUGAUUUAAUUCUAUGCAUAUUUAUAUUUUUUACACUGCCCAAUUUUGAAAACCCCAAUUUUACCCCUAGUUUGUUUAGUGAUGCAUAUUAGUUUGUGGAAGUUUCAUCUCUUUGUCUAAGAUAAUUCCAUAAAUGUAAUAUUUAUGGUAUCAGGAAAAACAUUUGAGAAAUCUCCUAUCUAUACAAGCUAUUUUUACGGACCCUACUUAUGGAAAGGUUCGUAUUUUUUACUGCAAGAUAAAUUUGGGGAUUCAUUAUUUUUCGUGGUUCCUAUUAUGUAGUCUUUUGAUAAAGACAAUAGAGACCUUCUUUCCCUCUGAUUAAUACUAUGUUUCCCGAUCUUAUUUAGUUUGAGCAUAGAGAAAAUUUAGAAAAUACCACAUAGGAUGCUAAAAGAGUCCUUGAAUAAGAAGGUGACGAUGAAGGCCUAAAAUUUCUACCAAAGACGUUUGAUAUAGUAAGAAAGAAGGUCUGCUUAAAGAUGCUGAAGUUUAUCUUUUUCUUUUGUGCUUUUGAUUUUGAGAUUUUAUUUAUACAUCAUUAAUAAAUGGCAGAAUUUUGUUUCUUCUUUUCCUUUUGUUGAUUGCAAAGUAACACAUGAUCAAUGAUUGACUUUUUAGGUUAUUUCCUCGUGUAUAUUGAUAUUUUUUAAUAUAAUGUAUAUUUCUCUCAUAAUAGGUUAACAGUAGCUUGCAUGUGUUUUGGCAUUAUAAGUCCAUUAGCAAACAUCCUAUAUUCUAAAUGAACACUUCAAUAUUUCUAAAUAAAGACUUCAAUAUUUCAGUGUUUUGGUAAGCUAUUUGGUUCUCAGGUUUAUAAUAUGGUCUGCUGCUGAGGUUAUUAUUUUAUUGUGAGCCGGGCUCUAUCGGAAACAGUCUCUCUAUCUCACAUCUAAGAAUGAGUUUGAAAGAAAGAAACAUGAAAUAUUAGUUGCUCAUAGUGCAUCAAUUGUGGAAGGAGGAUGAGAAAGGAAUUGGAUUUGUUGAUGAAGCAUGUAUACAAGAAAUCAUCUUCAAAUGAUGAACGCCCAUCUCAAGAAGACAACCAAGCUUAUGAGGAUGAAUGUGAUGAUGACUCUAACGACGUGAAUGAAAGUGAUUGACCCUCAUGGUUGAUAGUUUUAUUAAGGAUUCAAGUUCGAAAUAUUUUAUUUUGGGCCAUUAAGAAUCAUACAUUAUUGAUGUGGAUGUUACGAAUUAUAUUUUUUUGUUAGCUGUAAUGGUUUACAUUAGACUUAAUGAUAUUUUUGAGAAUUAUUAGAGGUUUUGAAUAGAUUUUUGACUAAUUGUAAAAUAUUUUUAGUAAUUUACGUGUGAAUUAUUACUUGAGAAUUUUCA